UAUCUCUCUCUAAACUCUCUGCAGAAACGGCGACCACCCAAAAACUUCAGAUUUCAUGUGGUUUUUAUCGCAAACUUGAGAGGAUCGGUCAUUAAAGAGGAACAAAUUAAGUUGAAGACUGUUGCGGAUGUUGAUGAAGAUUUGAGGGCGUUAUUGAUGUGUAAUCAAACAGAUUUAGGGUUUCUGAAAUUGUUGAAUUAUGAGGAAUUGAUAGUGAUAAUGGGUACGGGUGAUCUAAGAACAAAAAGGGUUGAUAUUAGUUUAAAGAUGUGAAUCUGUUCUGCUGAUAAAGAAUCGAAACAGGAGGUUGCUGGUGAAAAUAGUCAGAGCAUACAUCUGGUGUGACCACAUUGAGGAGUGUAACAAAAGUUCAGGAGUUCGUUGUUAGCAGGGCGGAGGGGAACGAUGAUGGUAGCAAUGCUGAUGCCUAGGAGGUUGGUCGAGAAUAUGGAGACACGAGCAUAACAGAAGGAGCUCAGAUUUAUGGCGAGCUCGAAGAAGGAAACGGGUAUAGAAGUGUAAGCCACCAUCUAAAACCACCAGCCACCACCAUUGUUUUUCCCAAACCAUCUUGCAUCUCUACUAGCAUACCACCAAAUCCAUACCACCAUUCCAGUGCAUAUCCCAUACCACCAGUUCACAUCAGUUUCAACACUUUAUAAACGUUCACAACCUCAACAGCAGUCAGGGUACACCACUUACGGCUCAAUUUUGACAACCACAACAAAUCCUCACCAGCUUGCAGCAAACUGCAACACUAAGAACGACUUGUCAGCAGAUUCCACAUCAGUAGAUUCCACGUCAGCAUCUACCACUUGUUAGAGUUGGCCCGUCGUAAGGUGCCACAUGUUAGUGUUUGUACACGUCAGCAGCUUUCACGUGUUAGAGUUUAACCAUGGUUAAUAGUAGCUGGAGUUAAUAAGAGGGUAUUUUGGUGAUAAUUAACACCGUUUUCUUGCCCAAAUAGUUAUUUCGGACGGAACAUGACUAUUUUGUAAGCCAAUUUCAAAAGUGUGAUCAUUUUGUAACCGAAUUAGAAAAAGUAGGACCAUUUUGUAAUUGACCCUAUAUUAUUCAUAUGACCUAAUGGUAUUUCCUACUUCUUCA